rnacentral:rRNA from 1 species
GUGGGGGAGGGUGGGAGGCAGGGGCGGAGCGGAAGAGGAGGAGGCGGGGUAAAGGAGUUUCGGAGCUCGGCGCGGAGCUGAGCGAGCUAGGGUAGAGGGCGAGUGCGGGCCGGAGGCUCCUCUAGUCCGGUGGCACGCCACGUCUCGAGCGGCAGGAGCGCGCGCGCCCUAGUAGAUCGAUGGAAAAGAGCCGAGCAUCCGCAGUACCGCGUCGCCCUGUUCUUCCACCUCCUCGGCUGCCUCCACGUGGACGUGCGGCGCCUCUAGUGCGAGACGCGGUUGUCGACGCCGAAGGGCCCGUUGGGCCGGUGGUUCUUGGAGACGGUCUUGACGAAGGACCGCAGGAGGAGGAGCGGCAGCGGGAGGCGGCGGAGCGGCGGCAGGGGAAGGAGAAGCGGGCGCCGCAAGGGCGAGAAGCUGUUCGACUCCGGCCGGCGGCAGCGCAGCGGGGACGACGUCCGCCGCGGGCAGAUGUACCGGCAGCUGGCCGGCCGGCGGCCCGGCCGCCUGGGCUUCCGCAGGUUCAGCAGGCAGUUGGCGACGGUGUUGACGGCCUUCGCGCACCCGGACUGCCCCAAGGCGACGGCCACGCCGCUCUACAAGACGCCGCGCGUGGCCAUGAGCCUGGCCGUGCUGACGUCGAUGCUGAUGUUCAGCCGCCGGUCCCUGCGGUAGCGGUCCCUCUUGGGGCAGCACGCGCGGCGGUUCUAGCAAGCCAAGACUGGUUGUUCUGUGGUGCGCGCGGAUGGGCCUGGCCGCUUUAGACUUCGUUUUUGGGUGAGAAAAAGAAAGAAAGGAAACUUUUUAAUUUCCGCAAGCGCUCUCAAAGAAUUUCCACUUUUUUUUCCUCUCCUCCCACUUUCUACCGCUACCCCGUCGGUGCUGCUUCUUUGUCACGCUACUAUUGCAACAACAACAUCCGAACAUCGCCACCAACCGUCACCUCUCCUCCUCUACUCCUCCUACCCCAACAUAAGCAAUCGAAAUCGACAGUUGGAAAAAGAAGGAAGAAGGUGACCGGCGCUUAACAGGUACUGUCGAGUUGGUA